rnacentral:rRNA from 1 species
AAAACUUUCAACAACGGAUCUCUUGGCCCUGGCAUCGAUGAAGAACGCAGCGAAAUGCGAUAAGUAAUGUGAAUUGCAGAAUUCAGUGAAUCAUCGAAUCUUUGAACGCACAUUGCGCCCGCCAGUAUUCUGGCGGGCAUGCCUGUUCGAGCGUCAUUACAACCCUCAGGCCCCCGGGCCUGGCGUUGGGGAUCGGCGGAAGCCCCCUGCGGGCACAACGCCGUCCCCCAAAUACAGUGGCGGUCCCGCCGCAGCUUCCAUUGCGUAGUAGCUAACACCUCGCAACUGGAGAGCGGCGCGGCCACGCCGUAAAACACCCAACUUCUGAAUGUUGACCUCGAAUCAGGUAGGAAUACCCGCUGAACUUAAGCAUAUCAAUAAGCGGAGGAAAAGAAACCAACAGGGAUUGCCCCAGUAACGGCGAGUGAAGCGGCAACAGCUCAAAUUUGAAAUCUGGCUCUCGGGCCCGAGUUGUAAUUUGUAGAGGAUGCUUUUGGUGAGGUGCCUUCCGAGUUCCCUGGAACGGGACGCCAUAGAGGGUGAGAGCCCCGUCUGGUUGGACACCGAUCCUCUGUAAAGCUCCUUCGACGAGUCGAGUAGUUUGGGAAUGCUGCUCUAAAUGGGAGGUAUAUGUCUUCUAAAGCUAAAUACCGGCCAGAGACCGAUAGCGCACAAGUAGAGUGAUCGAAAGAUGAAAAGAACUUUGAAAAGAGAGUUAAAAAGUACGUGAAAUUGUUGAAAGGGAAGCGCUUGUGACCAGACUUGGGCUUGGUUGAUCAUCCGGGGUUCUCCCCGGUGCACUCUUCCGGCUCAGGCCAGCAUCAGUUCGCCCUGGGGGAUAAAGGCUUCGGGAAUGUGGCUCUCUCCGGGGAGUGUUAUAGCCCGCUGCGUAAUACCCUGUGGCGGACUGAGGUUCGCGCAUUCGCAAGGAUGCUGGCGUAAUGGUCAUCAGUGACCCGUCUUGAAACACGGACC